AGAUAACAGACGAGAUGCAGGACUGCGGGUGUACGUGGACAAACGUGGAGGUGAACGCGGGAGGAAUUCUGCAGCUCUGACAGAGUGCCCAUCGGGUUCUUAGUCAACUCCCUGACUCGACUAAGAUGAAGGCAGCAAUGUACAGAGACAUCCUGGAUGAAAACCAACACUUCCCAUCCAACCAGAGCAUCGAUACACUCAAGCUGGUGAUGAGGGAGCUACGGAUGCUAAUGCUAGCAGACCUACCAACUGGCAAAACAAGGACACAGAUUUGAAAGACUUCCAGCUCCAACUUCGCCACAACUCUGCGAGGGUCGAGGCGAAGAGGUAGUCAGCAGGGAGGCAAGCAGUCGGGGGCUGGAGAGAGGCAACGAUGUCCGAGUCCAAGCAGAGGUCAAGGGUCGAGGAAGGCAAGCAGAGAUCCAGGUGGAGGUCGUGAGGCAGGACACAAUCACAGGCAGCAGGGAAGACACUGUGGAAGACACAAGAGACAUCAAACACAGGAACGAGGAAGAGCACAAAGAAGGCGAGCAAGG